AUACCUCCUGACGCCUCCUCCCCAUCUCCGAUUCCUCCUCGGCCCGCGAUUCCUUCUCUCCUCGCCGCAUCCCCGUCCCCGUGCCCUUCUCCAAACUCCGCCAUCCCCGUCCCGUACUCCCUCCCUUGGAAAAGAUCAAUUGGAGGAGUAAUUCCGGCUUCAUCCGGUGGUGGCGAUGCCGGAAAAGAUCGAUUUUUUUUCGACGGGAGGAGUAAUUCCGGCUUGAUCCGGUGGUGCCGAUGCCGGAUCCUGCGACGGCGCCGACGCGAGCCACCAAGGGCCGUGGACUCCCUCUCCGGCUGCGAUUCCGCCAAACCCUGUCGUCUCGGCGUCCCAGCGACCAUCUCCGAGGCGGAUAAAAUCGUUUCUUUCGGUAGCAGCCCGAGGAGAAGGCCCGGACAAAUCCUCGGAGCAGUAAGCCCGCCGCUCUAGCACCUUUCCUCACCGCCGUCGUCAUCAAGAUCACAAGAGCAGGACUCUUUGGACGGUGCUGAAGAUUGACCGGUUGGAGUCUAUUGAUUUGGGUAUCCAGGAGUAUCCUAUUAGUUACACGGAGAAUUGAUUGUCAAGAACUAAUUUGGCGGAUUCACGAGGGAAAUAGGUUUUCUGAAGUUUCUUGGUCCUUACUUUGCAAUUACCAGGAGAAGAAAAGUUGGCACAAUCUGUGGCCAUGAUAUUUUUAUUCAAUUGGAAAGAGUGAAAUGGUUGCAAUAGAAAUCUGCAUUUAAGUCUUCAGCUCUCAUAUUCUUUUUGUGGUUUAUUUAUUUAUACACUCAGAGAGAGGACUGGUUAGCUUAGGCCAUCGGAGUAUCUGUUUGAUUGAUGUGAUGAAUUUCAAUUUUGCCUUGGAGUAUUUAUUUAUUGAGCUUUACCUGUCUUUUUCUCAGGUUCUCUUGGUGGUCGGAAUUUUGCAAGGUGAAGUUGGUCCUAUGAUUUCUGUCAUGAAAAUUGAAAUGACAUGUUUGGAGUCUUGUUCGGAUGUCGGUGGUUUACAUGUUCCAAUUCAAGAUAUUAAAGAAGCAGUUGAACUUCCCGAGGGAAAGCUCUACUUGCAAAGCACAACAUUCUCCACUGGUAGGCAUUCGUGAACGAGAAGCUUGGCCAAACCCAGUAGGUAUGCGUGGAAUUAUUGAGCUCAGGUUUUUUGGGAUUAAGAUUCUUACACCAAAGGAUCACUAUAUACCAAGACUUCGAGGAUGAUAAGAGCGGAAGAUUUGGAUUUAAUUGUUAGGCUCGAUGUCUCAAAAUACGACAAGGAAUCAACUGAAAGAGGAACAUGUAUGAAUCGUACGGAAGAACUACUAUAUGCUAUUAAGGAAUGGAGGGAAUACGAGCUUUGAACUGAGAAUGGCGUUUUGGAGCUCGGCCUCCUUCGAGGCCGUUUUUUCUUAAAUUCAAAAUUCAUACUUUUUGGUUAAUUUUUUUUGUACAGUACACAAUGAUGGGAUGUGUGUGCGUAUAAAAUUUCAGAAUAAAACACAUUGAGAUGCGAUCUAUGCAAAAAAAAAAAUCAUGGACUUUUGGGAUGAAUAGUAGCGUGUCUUGAAAAGCCAUUGCCUUUUUUUGCACAACCUUCAUUUUAACGUAUUUCGUCCUGUAAAUUUACACAUGUGAGUUAUGCCUUCAUGUAUGCCUGUAUUUUUUGAAAUGUAAAAAUAUGUUUUUUUGUUGAAUUCUGAAUUUUUAAAAACCGUCCUUCAAAAGCAGUUUUGGCAUUGUACUUUGCUUCGAACGGCUAUCUUUUCUAUGGUCAUUGAAAGCAAAUUUGACAUGGGUAAACAAAUACGACAGCGGUGGCAUAAAAAAAGUCGCCUCAGACUAUUUAAUUCCUGAUGACAUUUUCCUCACUGCGCACACUGCGCUCAGAAUGUCGGUCUCUAGGAUAGUCAUCAUCGGCUUAGCGGAACCAUUUGUAGACGCGUACUUAAGCCGUAUAACUUGAUAUUCCCCAAUCGAGGUGGGAUUAAAGAACUGUGGAAAUGUUUCGGACGGUUCCUGCCUUUUAUUUAUUGGCUAGAAAAAAGUAGAGCGAUCGAAAUGGGCCUGGGCCAGAAAAUAACUCUGCAUUUAAAUAGUCAGAGAAAGUUAACACGAGAGCUCCUAAUGGGCGCCAGUUGGCAGUUCGUGAGCCCACGCGGCUGGGAACUGGGCUGGCCCAGGUUGCCUCGAUCGCCUCCUUCGCUCCCGUCGAUCACGGUUGGCCAGUCGACAGCUGGCCAGUUGGGAAAACCCUAUAGACGCUCGCUGCGUCCAGUUGUCGAGGCUUCACACAGAGAAGCAAGCGACUAGCGAUCAAGAUGGGCCGGCCCAGUCACGAGAUAGCACAGGCGCUACAGCGUCCCGGUUUUGGGAACCUUUUGGAGGGUUCCUGAACGGUUUUGGGAACCUUCUGGAAGGUUCUUGAACCAGGUUUUCACUGGUUUUUUCUGUUUGCUUUUUCUUUAUAGUUUUUUCUUUCUUUUCUUUUUCUUUCUUCGUUUUUCUGUUUCUUUAUUUCAUCUUUCAAUUCCUUUUUCUUUUCUUUUUAUUUUCUUUUUGUUCAUGUUUCAAGUUAUGCUUGGGAGUUUCAAAAAAUAAUCCAAUUUCAAAAUUUGUUCACCAAAUUCAAAAAAUGUUCAUGUUUACAAAUUUUGCUGCGAGUUUCCAUAAAUGUUUCCAUUUAAAAAAUUGUUCGCAAAUUGCAAAAAUGUUCAUGCUUCAAUUUUUGUUCGGGAGUUUUGAAAAAAUGUACGCAAGUUUUAAAAACUGUUCAUGUGUUCAAGUUUUGUUCGGGAGUUUCAAAAAAUGUUCCAAGUUUUAAAAAAUGUUCAAGUAUCCAAAAUUUGUUUUCGAAUUUGAAAAAUGUUCGGGUUUUGGGAGACGUUACAAAAAUGUUCCAAUUUCCAAAAAUUGUUUGCAUUUUUCGAAUUGUUGAGUUUUUACAAAUUUUGUUCUCAAUUUCUAAAAGUGUUCGCUGUUUCAUACAACCUUCAUGUUUUUUUUUCUCAAAAAUAGGGUUUCUCAAAAAUGUUCGCACUUCCAAAUUUCUUUGGAAUUUUUCAAAAUUGUUCUCUAUUUUAAAAUAUGUUCUCAAGAAACAAAAAAUGUUUGUGCUUGACAAAAUUGUUCAUGCUUCCAAAUUUGUUCAGGAUUUUUCAAAAUUGUUCUUCGUUUCAAAAUUUGUUCUCAAGGUUCAAAAAAUUGUUCGUGCUUCAAAAAAUAAUCCGCGCUUCCAAAUUUGUUCUCAAGAUUCAAAAAUCGUUCGUGCUUCAUAAAAAUGUUCACAAACUCCAAAAAUGUUUAAUUUCCGAAAAAUGUUUGGGAAAUUCAAACUUUUCGGUUUUCAUAAAAUUUGUUCACAUGUUCAAAAAAUGUUCAUGUUUCCAAAUUUGUUUACAAAUUCAAAAAAUUGUCCACAUGUUUAUUUUUUUUACUAAUUCAAAAAAUUGUUUCCUGUUUCCGAAAUUUGAUCACAUAUUCCAAAAAAUAUGUGAACAAUGAAAUUUACAAGCUCUAUGUCAAAAAAUAUUCCAAAAAUUUGUUCACAUGUUGAAAUACUGUAGGAUGAUUUACAAGCUCUACGUCGGAAAUUUCUUUUUGAGAUUGUAACAUGCAAGGACAAUGAAAUUCAGCUGCCGUUAGUAACUUCACUAACUUCUUUCCUGCAGAGACAUAUAAGUUCUCUAUUUUUUUUCUCUCCUAUGGAAACAAAAGAGAUGUUAUUUUCUUAGAGCCUGUUCUUUCAUACCGAACAGUGAAAUUAAUUUCUUCUAAUCGCGUAUAUAUUUCUUCUAAUUCUUCUUUCUAUUCUCAAGGGUCUCAUUAAUACUGUCACCUUCAAGGGAAGUGCACUGCAAGAUUCAACUCAAAGGAAUACUUCCAUGGGAAAAAUGUUUCCUUACCGAUAGAGCUAUCUUUUUUUUUCUCUUGCUGAUCUAGUGAUAGUUUCUUCCAAGACAUUCAACUGUAAACAAUGUCCGAAAACAGCUGAAACAGUUAUGAAAACGAGCAGUAAGACAUGUACAUUUUUUUUGUCUUUCAUGACGCCUUGGUGAUACUAUCAUCACUCAAUUUCAUCAAGAUGUAAGCUUACCACUUUUAUGACA